rnacentral:rRNA from 1 species
GACGAACGCUGGCGGCGUGCUUAACACAUGCAAGUGGAGCGACGAACCAGGGCUUGCCCUGGGGCAGAGCCGCGAACGGGUGAGUAACACGUGGGUAACCUACCCCGAUGAUUGGGACAAACCCGAGGAAACUCGGGCUAAUACCAAAUGUGCCCGCAGUCUUUGAGGACUGGCGUAGUAAAGAUAGCUUCGGCCUUCGCAGUCCGGGACGGGCCCGCGGCCCAUUAGCUUGUUGGGUGGGGUAA